rnacentral:misc_RNA from 1 species
UUAUCAAAUUGCAACUGGCAAAGUAACCAAAACAAAAAAGCACCAGGGGAUGGAAAAAGUAGCAGACAUGGAUUCCUUAAUGGUUUCGUGAACAUAAUAAAAAAAUUGCCCCUAAUAUUGAACGCAAAAACAUCUUCAAACCUCAAAAAUAGCAGAUGGAAAGUAGUCAAAGGACUAGUUCGACAGGCAAAACCAGUCUCAAUAUAAUGGCAACCAACUCAUUCGACCAGGAAACAGUCCAUUUUCACAUCAGUAACAUCGAGUUGGAGGAUCUCUGCUCUGCAUCCUAGAAUUGAUCCAAUGCUUGGACAUGUACGCCCUAGAUCCCCAUGUACAAAUUCUUUGAUAUAUGUCCCAGCCUGGGUACAUAGAUGCAAAAGAAAAUAUUGAGAGCUCUCAGCAAUUGUUUCUAUUUUCAUCCUAGAAUUGAGAAAUGGGGAAGUGCCUGUUAGACGAUUGUGAACAUAGACUAAUAAACAAGCAAGAAUAACACAACGCUAUGUAAUUGAAAAUGCUCCAACCAAUGUAUAAUCUUUUCACGUUCUAAUGGACUCCGACGGUGAAGCACCCUAAUUGGGGUUUUCUGCAAAAUUUGCAAGUCCUUGAGGGAAGCAAUUGACUGCAAGUCUUGAUCUUCAAGUGGGCGAGAAAUCCACACCAGCGCACAAUAUUGCUUCUGCUUUUCUGCUUCCCCCUCAUGCAUCAGAGUCCAGCCCUCAUUGGCUACCAUUUUAAGAUUUUUAACUGCAACCUGCAUAAAGAACAUGUUUCUUGUUGAAAAUAUAAAGAAAACACAUCCUUGAAUUGAAUUUGGUAAGCAUCUCACCAAUUUAGUAUUUAAGUUAUUUAUCUUAGUCUCUAUUUCUUUCACAAGAGCCUCAGAUGGGACUUGGCGGGCAUUUUGUAUCUCAACCAGGAAAGGCCUGCCUGAACCCAGCAUUCGAACAUCGAUAUCCUCUCUACCAGCAGCAUGAAACUUGUAACUGUCACCAUGACACGCGGGAAGGAUGUUGCCACCUAUUAUCUCCUCGACAGAUGCUUCUCCCAUUCUUUCAUCAUCAAUGAUCCAACGUGUUUGACUCACAUUCCUCGAGAACUUCAGGUAUCUUCCACCAAUGUAUAUAGGUGUCCUGUAGUAAAGAAACACCAAAUGGCAGGGUUCAUUGACCUUAUCCUUGGGGAAGAUGAUGCACUCAGAAGAUUCAUGGUCUUCCAGACCAUUAGUAGAACUCUCACCUAAAGCAUUUCUGUUGGUUGUAGAGAAAUCAAAACAUUCAUUGCUAGCAUCCACUAACUUAUUAUUGACAGAGUCGAAACCAGGAUUAGCAACUGUUUUUCUUCUCUUGCAACCUUCACCUCCUGCCGCUAAAUUUGGAACCAUACUUGAUGGCUUAGUUUGGGCAUAUGUCAAACGGAUACGACAAGAGCUUGGACCAGAUUUUACAUCCAAAACUUUUUCAAGCAGAUUUGCCAUUGCAAACUUCAAGGCUUCCUUUGUAGAAAUGCAUUUAGAAAGUCUUUCUUCGAACCAUAGCUCUGAUCGGUACUUCCUUUUCAUAUACAAAUGAAUAUUAUGUUCAUUUUCCUGGAUAACUGGUGGUAUGGAGACUUCAAGAGAAAAGCUAUCAAGCUGAUUACCCUCUUUCUUUAUCUGUUCAGAAAUUGAUAGAGCUAAGCUAAUAGCACUUCUUUUUUUCACCAGCAUUCCUUUAGCAUCAUAGUAAAUGAACUGCAAGAUACCCAAACAAAUGCUGCAUAUUUCUGGCUCAACUUCUGAAUCAUCAGAUGAAGAAGUAUCUUUCUUGUCUUCGUCGCCUUUCAAGCUGGAUACUGCCAUAUGCUCUUCUGGACAUGAUGGCUCUCCAAGAAUAGCACACAUAACUAACGAUGAGGGAGAAGAGCAAGAAUAAACAUGUCCAUGCAUCCCAAACAGCCGAAAGAUGCAUCUCAUGCAUACCCCAAUGGAUAGCAAGUCCUUUACGACGUGAGAAGGCAAAGAACGAACAGCAUCUUUGAAGAGUUGCAUGUCCUCGCCACCGACGGCCGUGUGGGAGUUAAAGUCCGCAGCUUCACUCUCGCUAGACAUUUGAAAACAGUUCUCCGGCUAAGGCAAUUGGCGACACUGGCUCCUUGGAGCGGAAUGAGCAGUUGAUGUCUGUGGGAGUAGGAGAAGUGGGGGAACUGAUAUUAGUGUGUAUAUGUGCAAAACACAGUUAGCUUUGUACAAAACACUUAAGCACCUAGAUCUUGACCGUGG